GUGUCCGCUUCAGCAGCACACAUAGUAAGAUUGGAGUGAUCCAGAGAAGAUUAGCAUGGCCCCUGAAGAAAGAUGACAAACAAGACUGUGAAGUGGUCCACGUGUUU